CGUAGGGUGCAAGCGUUAAUCGGAAUUACUGGGCGUAAAGCGUGCGCAGGCGGUUAUGUAAGACAGUUGUGAAAUCCCGGGCUCAACCUGGGAACUGCAUCUGUGACUGCAUAGCUAGAGUACGGUAGAGGGGGAUGGAAUUCCGCGUGUAGCAGUGAAAUGCGUAGAUAUGCGGAGGAACACCGAUGGCGAAGGCAAUCCCCUGGACCUGUACUGACGCUCAUGCACGAAAGCGUGGGGAGCAAACAGGAUUAGAUACCCUGGUAGUCCACGCCCUAAACGAUGUCAACUGGUUGUUGGGUCUUCACUGACUCAGUAACGAAGCUAACGCGUGAAGUUGACCGCCUGGGGAGUACGGCCGCAAGGUUG
rnacentral:rRNA from 1 species